rnacentral:rRNA from 1 species
GAUGAACGCUGGCGGCGUGCCUAACACAUGCAAGUCGAGCGAUUUACUUCGGUAAAGAGCGGCGGACGGGUGAGUAACGCGUGGGUAACCUGCCCUAUACACACGGAUAACAUACCGAAAGGUAUGCUAAUACGGGAUAAUAUAAGAGAUUCGCAUGGAUUUCUUAUCAAAGCUGAGGCGGUAUAGGAUGGACCCGCGUCUGAUUAGCUAGUUGGUAAGGUAACGGCUUACCAAGGCGACGAUCAGUAGCCGACCUGAGAGGGUGAUCGGCCACAUUGGAACUGAGACACGGUCCAAACUCCUACGGGAGGCAGCAGUGGGGAAUAUUGCACAAUGGGCGAAAGCCUGAUGCAGCAACGCCGCGUGAGUGAUGAAGGCCUUCGGGUCGUAAAACUCUGUCCUCAAGGAAGAUAAUGACGGUACUUGAGGAGGAAGCCCCGGCUAACUACGUGCCAGCCGCCGCUGUAAGAC